rnacentral:piRNA from 1 species
UACUGUCGUCGUCAUCGAAGGACUGGC